rnacentral:lncRNA from 1 species
GGGACACACCUGCAGCCCAGCGGACAGCCCACCAGCCUCCAAACAGUUCUGCGAAAAAUUAGGCUAUCUUUCAUUAGCUAUCUAUCAUGCGGCCUCCACCAGGCUGCAGGAUAUGAGGGCCAUUUAAUUAGGCCCUGCACCACUCUCGGGUGUGAAAAGGCUCUCAAACGCUUUGAUUCCCCGCUGCUUCGCAGCAGGAAGUUGUUGGCGAUAAUUGACAUAGGAUUUCCUUGUUAACCAGCAGCAGACACGCCGGAUUAAAGCGACAGAGAUCUCGAGAAGAAAGUGAAAGAGAUAAGAAGCUCGGAAGACUUCUGCUUAUUUGGCACUUGAGGAUGGCAGGAAACAGCAAUAACCUACUCAAGUGGCGACUCUAGAGUGGAAGGGCGUCCCCUUAUCAGACCUAUUUCAGCUUGGCUGAUCAAAGAUUGACUCCCCGCAAAAUCACAUAGGCCUGGGGUUUGUUAGUUUAUUAAGCAGCAGGUUUUAGGAAUUAUCACAGGUUUAAAGAUGGAUUGCAGUUUAUGUGAAGGGGGAGAGGAUUAUCGGGUUUUCAUCUUAACAAUUAUAAAAUAUCACAGCUGAAAGCUUGCUUGCAAAUGACAUAAUUUUCCACUGCCAACUAAACAGGUCAUUGUGAGGCUGCCUGUGAGCGCACUCAACGAGGGAGGAAAUACAGGCAAAUUAACUCUGGGGAGGACCGGGGAUGAGGGGCCUCCACGCCUUGUUCCACUUCGGAAGACGGUGCGAUCUCAUUUUGCCCUGUGCGAUUCCUUAGAAGAUACUCAGCUAGAAGAUUCCUCUGUGAGGCUGCUAGUACUUCUCCAGCAGACCAAGCCAGGAGAGCUUUCUCAAAGAUUCUACCAGAUUUUCCAGGGGUUCUCAAAGAUUGUCUGCAAACCAGCUCUGAUAAAUGAUUGCAGCUUCUUGAGUCUAUAGAGAGAGACCUUUAUGCUCUCUCUACUAGGAAGUAAUGCUUUUUUCCCUGAGAUUAUGUUCUUUUUAAAAUUUUUAUGUGCUUUUAAAAUCUCAUGUGUGUAUUAACAUGUCCUUUCUUUAUAGAAUGUUGAAGACAAUAUAUAAAUUUCUGAAAAGAUUUGAAUGAUUUGAUUUGGCAAAAUAAAGAAUUGCCAAUCCUACAUAGAGCUCCAUACACCAAUUUUUAAAAAUAAUUUUAUUGCUUCACAAAAUCUGGGAACCACUGGAUAUAUGAAGUAUCUCUUUUAGCUAAAGCAAAGUCAACUCUCACCCUCGAAAAAAGUUCAUUUUUUGAUCUGUUUUUAUUUUUCUGUGGCAAAAAGUGCUUUUGUGAUGCCUCUAUGAAUAAAAGACUCAUUUUCCUAAGUGA